rnacentral:rRNA from 1 species
CAGCCGCCGCGGUAAUACGGAGGGUGCAAGCGUUAAUCGGAAUUACUGGGCGUAAAGCGUGCGUAGGCGGUUCGUUAAGUCUGUUGUGAAAGCCCCGGGCUCAACCUGGGAAUGGCAAUGGAUACUGGCGAGCUAGAGUGUGUCAGAGGAUGGUGGAAUUCCCGGUGUAGCGGUGAAAUGCGUAGAGAUCGGGAGGAACAUCAGUGGCGAAGGCGGCCAUCUGGGACAACACUGACGCUGAGGCACGAAAGCGUGGGGAGCAAACAGGAUUAGAUACCCAGUAGUCCCUGUCUCUUAUACA